AUGUUAGAAUACCUGGAUAUUGUAGACACUGGAAGACCCAAUGUUAGAAGACCGGCACUCUGGAGACGUUGGAAGAUGUGGAUAUUGAGCCCCCUGUUGGAAGACUGGGUAGUUGUCGGAAGACGUGGAGAUGCUGGAAGACGUGGAGUUGCUGGAAGACGCAGAGAUGCUGGAAGACGAGCAGAUGCUGGAAGCCCUGGAGAUGCUGGAAGCCCUGGAGAUGCAGGAAGACGUGGAUUUUCUGGAAGACGCGGCUUAGUUGGAAGACGUGGAUUUUUCUGGAAGACAAAUUUGUUGGAAGACGUGGGUAGGCCGGAAGACAUGAAUUUGCUGGAAGACACAGCCUUGUUGGAAGACGUGGAUUUGCUGGAAGACAUCGAUUUUCUGGAAGACGUCGAUUUUCUGGAAGACCUGGAGUUGUUGGAAGACUUAGAAUUUGUUGGAAGACUUGGAGUUGCUGGAAGACCUGGAGUUGUUGGAAGACCAGAUAGGACAACAGAGAGGAUCAAUGGAGAUGAACUCUGGCAGGUUUUACUCCUUGAGUAG
rnacentral:lncRNA from 1 species